AGCUCUCACUGAAAUUAAACUAUAACUGAAGACAAAUCCUGCAGGGUCACACACCAACUGCUGUUUGGGAAGUUCUUCAAUGAUUCCAACCUGGAUUCCUCUUACUUUACUUGGAUGCCAGCCACAACAUUCCUGGGAUCCUUUUCCAUUUAAAUAAGUUAGGGCUUGGAGAUGGGGAGUGGGAGGAGCAUGGGGAAGCCAAGGCCCAGAGAAGGUAAGCAACCGUCCUAAGAUAACACAGCACUCUUGAGAUGACAGCUCAGGUAUGCAGUCUGCCGGCCCAAGCCCCAUGGAACUGUGGGAAGGAACGCAAGUGAUUCUCCUAUUGGACAGGGGCAAGUGCAUGGAAAAGGAUGAUGGUGAGGCUGAAAGCAGGAAAAGAUUUGACCCAUCUCCCAGGUUGGGCCCAGGCCAGAGGUCUCUACCAGCAAAGAGGAUAAAAGAGACUACACCUGGACAAACCCUCCCAGGCCCAGGCCUGAGCCUCACAUGUGGCCCCGGGGAAGGCAUCAGGGACUCCCUUUGCCCUCCCACUGACCUCCCUGCAAACCUCCCCCAAACCAAGGGGCAUCCUCAGCUGGCCAGACCCUGGGGGAAGGGAGAGAGCCGAGGAUCACCGGCACCUGUGGCUGGGUUACCCCUGCCAUGGACCACUGGGUGGACGGGCCCCUCGGUAUUGGUAAAUGUCAUAUCCUCAGGGUAAGAGAUGAAAGCUGCUUUCUUUCAAAAGAGUUCGUGUCCAGAGUUCCUACUUUUAUGAUCAAGAAGUCAUUCCAAAAUGUGAAGCGUUCUGAAGAUAUGCACAUAGCGUAAGAACCUGGUGUAAUGUGCUGGUCAAGGCGGUCUCAGAGAGGAGAUGACGUUUGAGCUGACACCUGAGGGAUGAGAAGAAAGCAGCCAUUCCCAGGGCCCAGGGGAGGCAUCCCAGGAAGCCGGAUCAGCAUGAGCAAAAGCCCUGAGGCCUGGCACAAGUUGGUCUGCUUGAGAAGCAGGAGAGAGCCCUGAGCAUCCGGAGUGCAGCAAGCGAGGUGCACAGAGGAGCAGGAAGGGGCUGGGAGAAGGCUGGGGCCGGAUCAUGCAGGACAGGCUGGAGGAAGGGGCUUGAAUUGUCUUCUGACCACUGAGGGGAUAUAAACAUGAGGGCAAAAUCAUCUGAUUUCCAUGUGCAAAGGCCCACUCUGGCUGCUCUAGAGAGAACAGAUGAUUGCAGGGUAAAAGUGGAUUUAGAGAGGUCAGAUGGAGGCUGGGUACGUGCCGUGUAUGGUAGAUAGCAUGCUACCAAAUACACUCACAGGUAGCCCUAUUAUCUCCAUUUCACAGAUGAGCAAGUCAAGAUGCAGAAGGACUCUCUGGCUUGUCCAAGGUCACACGGCUGUUAGGAGCAGAGCAGCGUCCUGGUGCCCAAGCCCUGAGGUCCCCAGCACACUGCCUCUGCAAUGGCCACAACUGUCCAAAGACUAAGCUGACUCUCACACCUGGUAGUGUCUGUGGUCAUUCACUGUGGAUGGAAGUGGAGAAAUGCAGAAAACAGAAACACAGCUUCCCCUUUUCUGUCAUAUUUCUGUAUCGUUGGUGUUUGGAGCCAGUUGAGCACAAAGGGCCCCUGAGUGCUGUUUCCUUGUGAUAUUUGGGGGUUAACAGCUUCCCCUCAUCUCUUAAUUACCUGCCCUCCUUCACUUCAGCUGCACAUUCGUUAAAGAAUGCUCUCCCAGGAGAAGAGCUUGGUGUUAUCACCCACAAACAUCUUAGAAAACUAAUGCUAUCCUUGAGUGCCUGUUUACAGAAACAUUUUUACAUCUCACUUGACAUUUCCAGCAAAUCUUGAUCCUUCCAGCCAGGAAUAUUAAUAUAUAGGUCUUGAAAAGUGCAAGAGGCUCUUCCAUGGCUCCAAGCACAUUUGACACUCUUCCUUUUCUGAUCCCCAAGCAGACAGUGAUGAAACCCCAAUAGCUGGGCGAAUACUCAUCCAACAGGAAGAAUCAGUUUUAAGAGCUGGGUUCUCAGGGUCAAAUACUGUGGUGUGGCCUUUUGGUUGUAAUGAGUUGAAUGGAGGUCUCAAAAAAGAUAUAUCCAUGUUCUAAUCCCCAGAACUUGUGAAUGUGACCUUAUUUGGAAAAAGAGUCCUUUUGGAUGUAAUUAAGUUAAGGAUUUUGAGAUAAGGAGAUCAUCCUGGGUUAUCUGGGUGGACCCUAAAUCUGUUGACAAUGUCCUUAUGAGAGACCCCAGAGGGCACAGACAGGAAAGGAAGAGGCAAUGUGGCCCCAGAGGCUGAGAUCAGAGCUCUGUGGCCACAAUUCGAGGAACACCUGGAGCCACCAGAAGCUGGAGGAGGCAAGGAACAGAUUCUCCCUGAUCCUCUGGAUACAGAGGGAGAAUAGCCUGGCCGACACCUUGAUUUUGGACUUCUGGCCCCCAGAACUGAGAAAAUUAACUUCUGUUGUGUUAAGCAGCCACGUUUGUAGCAGUUCAUCAUAGCAGCCCUGGGAAAGAAAUACAGUGGGCUUCCAGUUCAAGGAGGAUCCACGAGGCCUGAGCUCCAUCUGUCGAUUGGAAUCACCAAAAUCAAGGUUGUGUGCGGGUAACGCCAGCACAAGCAGCUCAUGCUGGCAAAAGCAGACCAAACCGGCUCACGCAACGUCAAGUCAUCUUGAAGUGGUUCACGCACCACAGUGAGUGGUAUUGAUUGUGGUUAAGAGCCAGGUUCAAGGAGGUUUAUCACUCAGUAGCCAGGUAAAGCAGGUUCCAGGCCUGGCUCCACCACUCAACAACCGGGGAAACAGGGGUAAGCUUCUUAAAUGCUCCGUGUCUCAGUUUCUCCAUGUGUAAAAUGAGGGCACUAAUAACAGUCCCUACCUGCAAGGUGGUUGUGAAGAUGAUAUGAAUUCAUAUAUGUAAGGCACUUGGAAUUGACAAUACUGACAUACCACAAAUACAAAAUAAGUGUCUGCCAUUAUUAAGCUAACCCAAAUCAAAACAGACACAGAUGAAUUCAGAAUACUCAAGUAGACUCAGAUAUGUUCAAAUGGAGCCCACCAGUUAAAACUAGCUGAGACCAGUGUAAACUGGCUCAAGCCUUUUGGGCCAAGCUGUACUAAAACCAGAUUAAAUCAGUCAAAACAGGAUUAGAAUAGUCAGUCUGGAAUCUCUACACGCACGCCUGCACAUUUGAGGGGUCUCUCUCCGCCCCCUCUGUACAUCAGAUUGAAUAGUAACAAACAGUCCCACAUCUCCCAAGAAUGAGCAUAAUGGACAAGCAGAGGGCCGCCAAUGUCCCCACCAGAACGAGCAUAAUGGACAGGCAGGGGGCCGCCGAUGUCCCCACCUAAGACAUGCAGACAUUUCCCUGUCGGAAACGCGCUCAGAUUCUUUACGGCAGGUCAAGGCUCAAAUAUCAGAAACCAAUUUCACUCACACUAACUAAACAAGAGACGGGAUCUGUGGUUCAGGAUCCUGAGGCACUCGUGAAACUCAUGGGUAGGAAGGUCAGCUGGAGCCAGUUAGUGUCUGGAAGGCUAUCAGAGCUCAAGGCCCCUCUCUCUGGCCCAUGGAGGGGAAUUAACUCCCUCAAAGGCAGGAGCUCAGUGAGCAGGAGGCUGGUAGGGAGGUGGGAGCUGCAGGUGACCGGUUAGAAGUCAGAGGCUGUUGUGGGGGGCAGCUUGCACCAGUGGACACAAGAGCCCCAACUUGUGGGCACUUGGAAGUCCCAGGCUGUUCCCUGGCUCCACCCCGUCCUCUGGGGUGCCUGCUUCACAGAGCACCAAUAAUGCGUUUGUGUCACUCUAUGUUUCCUGGCAGGAGCAGACCUGCAGAGGGGCCAGAAGACACCUGGCCGGGUGGGGAGCAGCCCCUCCGUAAUAACAAUCGGAACCUGGGAAGAUAAGUAGAGUCCCAGGGGAGGGACAGAGUUUCCCCUGUGUCACCACAUGGCUACUUUGACACAAAUGCACGUGGGCAGAGAGAGGCAUGCAGGUCAAGGGCCUGGCAGGGAGUCAGGGGCCCUCAGUGCCAGUCCUGGCUCUGCCUCUGCCUCUGACACGCCAUGUGACCUUGAGCAAGUCACCACCCUGUCUGGGCUUCGCUAACCCAUAUACGGAAUGAGAAGGUAUCGUCCCUGGUCACUGCAGGUUUUAAAUCAUGUAGUGAGAGAGAGCUCAUUUGGUCCAACUCUCUGCAACUGAAGGAAUGGAGACACCAAGGGGGAGUAAUCGGCCGCAGUGAUGAGUGGGUGGCAAAGGGAGCUAUCACUACCAUUGAUUAUCCAGCUACUUGUGCUUGAUAAACUCCCUCCUGGUGGAAUGGGCUUUCCCACAUCCAGCAGCACAAAUGCUGUGAGCAUCUACUACGGGCUGGGCACCUUCUCUGGGCUGGCACUUGACAUGGGUUAUCUCAUUUAACUCCCUAACAACCCUAUGUGGUAUUAUCAUCCCCAUUUCACAGGCGGCAAAACUGAAUCCCAGAGAGAAGACUCACUCAGACACAGCUAUCUGAACACUCUUUUCCAGUUCCCCUAGGGCAGCAGAGGAAGCAAGGUGGGGGGAAGCCAGUGGUCAAGGAUUCCAUGCGGAAUGUACCCUAGAAUUAACCCAUGGAGAGAGGGUAAGGGAACGGGCUCAGGCCUGGGAAGAAGUGGGGAGGACAGUGUCCUGUUGACCUAUUCAAAAACAUCCAGUUUUAGUUAAUUUUUAGUUCAUUAGUCACCACUUUUUAUUAGUAUCUCAUGUAUUCUUUCACAGUUUCUUUCUGCAGGUACAAAAAUAAUGAUUUUUUUUCUUUCUUUUUCUUCUUUGAGACAGGGUCUCGCUCUGUUGCCCAGGCUGUAGUACAAUG
rnacentral:lncRNA from 1 species